CAAAGAGAGAGACGCAGGCUCCGGUUUCUGAAUCAGCUGGCUGCCAAUCUGACAUUUGUUCGUGUCCACGAUUGGAAAGCUGUGCAGGAAAAUUGACGCUUAAGGAGAAAGACAAGGCAGAUAGCUGCUCAGACCUGCACCAAGGAUCAAGGAGAGCGAAACAAGGAGGA